UGCUGAAGCAACAAAUGCCCUGCUUCCAGGAAAAGCCUCUAAGCAUCAGGUAACAUCAAAUCGUACCCCAAACCGACACAGGUGGUCAGGUAGAGAAUACCAAGGCGCUUGAGAGAACUCGGGUGAAGGAACUAGGCAAAAUGGUGCCGUAACUUCGGGAGAAGGCACGCUGAUAUGUAGGUGAAGUCCCUCGCGGAUGGAGCUGAAAUCAGUCGAAGAUACCAGCUGGCUGCAACUGUUUAUUAAAAACACAGCACUGUGCAAACACGAAAGUGGACGUAUACGGUGUGACGCCUGCCCGGUGCCGGAAGGUUAAUUGAUGGGGUCAGCGCAAGCGAAGCUCUUGAUCGAAGCCC
rnacentral:rRNA from 1 species